UCUUAACCCCCGUAUCAGAUAUAUGAUUUGCAGUUAUUUUCUCCAAUUUAGUAGGUUGCCUUUUCAUUUUGUUGAUGGUUUCCUUUGCUGUGCAGAAGCUUUUUAGUAUGAUGUUGUCCCACUUGUUUACUUUUAUUGCUUUCACUUUUUG